GACGAACGCUGGCGGCGUGCUUAACACAUGCAAGUCGAACGGACAGACAGAGAGCUUGCUCUCUUGAAGUUAGUGGCGAACGGGUGAGUAACGCGUAAUCAACCUGCCCUUCAGAGGGGGAUAACAACGGGAAACCGUUGCUAAUACCGCGUACGAUUCAUGAACGGCAUCGUUUACGAAUGAAAGGUGGCCUCUAUGUAUAAGCUAUCGCUGAAGGAGGGGAUUGCGUCUGAUUAGCUAGUUGGAGGGGUAACGGCCCACCAAGGCAAUGAUCAGUAGCCGGUCUGAGAGGAUGAACGGCCACAUUGGGACUGAGACACGGCCCAAACUCCUACGGGAGGCAGCAGUGGGGAAUCUUCCGCAAUGGACGGAAGUCUGACGGAGCAACGCCGCGUGAGCGAUGAAGGUCUUCGGAUUGUAAAGCUCUGUUAAUCGGGACGAAAGAGUUCUGCGUGAAUAAUGCAGAAAAGUGACGGUACCGGAAUAGAAAGCCACGGCUAACUACGUGCCAGCCGCCGCGGUAA
rnacentral:rRNA from 1 species